GCGCUCGCUUCGGCAGCACAUAUACUAAAAUUGGAACGAUAGCGAAGAUUAGCAUGGCCCCUGCACAAGGAUGAAAGUGUAUCUUUCAUCAGUAUAAAAUUCAA